AGGCCUAACACAUGCAAGUCGAACGCUUCUUUUUCCACCGGAGCUUGCUCCACCGGAAAAAGAGGAGUGGCGAACGGGUGAGUAACACGUGGGUAACCUGCCCAUCAGAAGGGGAUAACACUUGGAAACAGGUGCUAAUACCGUAUAACAAUCGAAACCGCAUGGUUUUGAUUUGAAAGGCGCUUUCGGGUGUCGCUGAUGGAUGGACCCGCGGUGCAUUAGCUAGUUGGUGAGGUAACGGCUCACCAAGGCCACGAUGCAUAGCCGACCUGAGAGGGUGAUCGGCCACAUUGGGACUGAGACACGGCCCAAACUCCUACGGGAGGCAGCAGUAGGGAAUCUUCGGCAAUGGACGAAAGUCUGACCGAGCAACGCCGCGUGAGUGAAGAAGGUUUUCGGA
rnacentral:rRNA from 1 species